rnacentral:rRNA from 1 species
AUGGGCAAAGAAUGUCGAAAGAUAAAACGGAUUUUCACUACCAUGAGUAUACCCGACGCUAAGAGUGCUACCGUGAACGCUAUCGCAAAAAACGAGCCAUGGGUACACGCUAAGCACAUGACACAAUGCUUCUUCAUAACCGACCCAUGCAAUCCCAGUCGUGUUGUCGUGAGGAGAGGCAAAAGGAACAUCAUUGGAAUGGAUGGAGUCGCCAACGAGGAAGACUAUGAUCAGUACGGCAACCCAAUGAGGGAAGAUGACAAUGAUGAAAAGUAUACGUCAAAAGAAGAAUCAAUACUGCAUUACCUAAGAUAA